rnacentral:rRNA from 1 species
GAUGAACGCUGGCGGCGUGCCUAAUACAUGCAAGUCGAGCGAACAGACGAGGAGCUUGCUCCUCUGACGUUAGCGGCGGACGGGUGAGUAACACGUGGAUAACCUACCUAUAAGACUGGGAUAACUUCGGGAAACCGGAGCUAAUACCGGAUAAUAUAUUGAACCGCAUGGUUCAAUAGUGAAAGACGGUUUUGCUGUCACUUAUAGAUGGAUCCGCGCCGAAUUAGCUAGUUGGUAAGGUAACGGCUUACCAAGGCAACGAUGCGUAGCCGACCUGAGAGGGUGAUCGGCCACACUGGAACUGAGACACGGUCCAGACUCCUACGGGAGGCAGCAGUAGGGAAUCUUCCGCAAUGGGCGAAAGCUUGACGGAGCAACGCCGCGUGAGUGAUGAAGGUCUUCGGAUCGUAAAACUCUGUUAUUAGGGAAGAACAAAUGUGUAAGUAACUAUGCACGUCUUGACGGUACCUAAUCAGAAAGCCACGGCUAACUACGU